AAAGCACACUUAGCUUUACGACCCAGAAAAGGAGAUUUCAAACAACAUAAGUCUAGCUUAGGAAAUUGCGUGGUUAGUAACCCCAUUCUAUUUCUCUCUCUCCUACUACUUCUUCUACUACUCUUACUCUUUCUCUUACCCCUACCAACCUACCUUUCCUCCUUCUGUUCCUCUCUAUAUUUAGUGACAGACCUUCGCUUCAGGGUGCAACCACAACCCCACAAUCUUCCUUCUUUCCCUCUCAAAACCCCACUAUUAUUAGCCACACCUUAAUCCCCUUACCUUUGCUUCUUUUGUGCCAAUUCAUUAGGGUUUUAGUGGGGCUUUCAACCCACUUACUUUCAUCCUCCAUAUAUACCUCCUCCAUCCCCUUCACUCUUACUCUCUACAACUCUCCCUUUCUCUCCACAUUCAUCAUCAUGCUCAUGCACCUACCUAUCUAUCUAUCAUAUAUUCAUGCAUUUCAUUCAUUACUUCACCCUAAUUUUCUUUUCUCUUCUGCGUCUAUCUAUCUUUUAAUUCAUCAAUUCAUCAUCAUGCAUACAUAUGUCUAUGUGCCUGGCUCCCUGUAUGCCAUUUGCAGAGCUCAUCGAACCGUCAAUGACCUCCGUGGAUGGCGUAUGAGGAGCCAAGCAUAUUCCAUGUACAUACAUGGAGAGGAUCAUCAUGAUCAUGUGGUUUAGAUUAAUUUUAAAUGGAUGAUGAUAAUACAAGGUUGAGUUAUAUAUUUUGUUCUAUAGUUGGGUUUUCUUUGGUUUUGUUAUAUUAAUCAUGAAUUGUACCUACUGUUGGAGGUCAUAUAUAGAUAUAUAUACAGUCUAUAUAUAUAUAUAUAUAGGCCAAUUAUUCAAGAAAAGCACGGCAUUGUCAUUUUCAAAGGCACAGGUUGUGCUUCCUCAGGACUGAACAAAGACUGUUGUUAAACGGGGGAAACAUAUUCCAUCAUUUACCAGCUGGGGGCUCACAUGUGGGUUUGUAUUUUUGCUUUUUUUCUCUGUUGUUUAGUUUCAAUCUGAUAAUCAUUUUUCACUACACUUGAAACGAGGGCAUGGGAAAACAGCAAGAACCCCAAGUUACCGUAAAUUAGAACUAUUCCUGACAAUUAACAUGGAAGUUAUAAAAAAUUUACUUGCUCACCCUUCUUGUUACCAUGCUUGUCUGUCUCGUGGACAUUUCAUAUGACCUCUGAUUAUACCAACAAUAGCCUCAAAAGAAGCAACACUGUGUCAUAUACCAUACAGUUACAUACAGCCAUCUAUUUAUUAUUUUAUUUUACUAGUCUUUAGCCAUUAAAUAUAUUUAUAUAUGGAACAAACUUGCUAGCUACAUAAUCUCUCUGCUGUUUUUUUUUUUCUAAUCAUUGAUAGUUUGGAAGAAAACAAUUUCGAUUUGGUAUUUUUUUUAUUAUUAUACAUAUUAUUAAUUAAUCGUAUAUAUAUAAUGUUACAAGCUAUUUUCAUGGGAUUUUUUUUUUUUUGAAAUAUGAUUAAAUUAACAAAGACUUAAAAUAAGCAGUGCCCAUCAUAACAUCCUCAUUCUCCUGAAUAACAAAUUUUAAUUGGUUCUAUUUUCUUCAGUGUAAAUUCCUUGAUUUCAUUUUACAUUAAUAAGAGCCAUUAAGAUUUGAAUGCAUAUUUAAUGAAAUUAAUCAAAAAAUAAAAUCAGUGCUUUUAUUGAGGGUUUUACUCUUAUCUUUGUCUUACAUUUCACCCAGAUGACCUAUAUGAUUAUCUAACUUUAGGUUAAAAUGAAGCGACAAUGUAUUAUAAACAUAUGCAGUAUAUAACAAAAUCAACAUGCUUACUACUACAGUAUCACGAAUAUUUUGCGGUUAUUUAGUCAUUUCCUUUGCAUGAUGUCUAUGUUGUUUUUAACAGUAAUGUUGUCUUUAAAUACAUUUCACCUAGCUCAAAGAUUGAAUACCAAUUAAUGAACACUUUGCAGCAGAAACAAAACUGUUACACUUUUGCAACAGUAGUCUAUUUAUUUCUUUUGUCCUUAGCCACGUUUAACCCCGUUCAGACAUUGGUUACCACUAGAUAUACAACGCUGUGCAGUUGCAGCUCAUCAUCUGUCACACUCUCUGUGAAACGAACAUUUUCAAAGGUUUUAAUCAGUUGCGUGAUCAAUAUUGCUUUGUAACAGUAAUUUAUUUCUUUACGUUCUUUAAGACUUUUUACCCCCUCAGACAUUGGUCACCAAUUUACCAUAACCCUUUGAAGCAACGAGAAGACACAAGGGUAGGGUAGAAUCUGGAUAUUGAAGAAGCGGGUGUUGGCUAUAUUGCUGAACUUGUAGAAAAAAAAGAAAUACAAUUAUUUAAAUAUAUACAUAUGAUCUGAGUUAAGAUAUGUAAAUGAAGAAGCAUGAAUGUGGUAACAGUGGUGUAUGAAUGGUUGAAGAGAGGUAAAAUGAAUGGUAUGAUUGUUAUUAUUGUUAUUCUUGUUGCUUAGCCUUAUAUGUGUAAUGUGUAAUGGAAGGUGAAAGUGCAGGUAUGAGAGACAUUGAGGUUGUGAAUGGGUAGGUUGUGGUAGUAGUGUUAAUGAAUGAUUCACACUGAACUGAGUUUUUCACUCUUUGAGCUUAGGUAGGUGUCUGUGAUACACACGCAUGUCUGGCCAGGGCUUGAAGAAAGUAAAAAAGGCAAGGAUCCUGGGAAAAGUAAAAGCAUGAUUGUAGCAGCUGGAGGAUUAUCAUUAUAGCCACUGGGGAAUCUCAUACAAAAAGGAAUGGACCACUCUCUCUCUCUACUUUCAAUUGGUUUGCAGGGAAUAUGGUAUACGGUCAAAGCAGGUCAAAAGCUUACAAUAGGACAUUAUUGGUCAGGCUAUUGUGGGACCACCCACAUCCUAACAUCUCCUGGGGAAAUCAAUUCUAGGAUUUUGUGUUUUUCUUCUCCCCCUCAACAUUUCACUGCACUCCUCUCCAAAUUCUUUCUUUUAUUACCAUAAUAACCAUUGCAAUCACUCUAAUCUUCAAAACUAGAACACCACUUAAUCUCUAAGGAUCUGCUAAUUGUAACUGUAAUUCAACCUUAAUAAUGUCUUUAUAUGGGUUUCAUCGUGAUAUAAGAUUAGAGAAACUUAAGGUUGCAACUGCAAUGUUUUGUAACCUGUGGUUAUAUCGGAAAAAGAAAGAGAUAGAGAGAGAAUAAAAUUAUUAGAGUAAUCAUAUGAUGUAAGAUGCUGGCUUGGCCCGCUUCCUCAGUGUUUGAUGCCUCUGCUGGCAGAUUAAUUGUACUCUUCGGUCUGAGAAAGUAGAUUCUAUACUAUUCCUGUCUCACUUUGGCCAUGGGAAUAUCAUUUGCUUUUUUUACAUCUAAGGAUGAAUAAUGAAUUUCACUUUACAUCUUCUUAA